GAUGAAGAACGCAGUGAAAUGCGAUACGUAAUGUGAAUUGCAGAAUUCAGUGAAUCAUCGAAUCUUUGAACGCAUAUUGCGCUCUCUGGUAUUCCGGAGAGCAUGCUUGUUUGAGUAUCAGUAAACACCUCAACUCCCUUUCUUCUUGAAAUGGAGCUGGACUUGAGUGAUCCCAACGCUUUAUUCAUAAAGUGGCGGGUUACUUGAAAUGCAGGUGCAGCUGGACUUUUCUCUGAGCUAUAAGCAUAUCUAUUUAGUCUGCCUCAAAACAGAUUAUUACCUUUGCUGCAGCUAACAUAAAGGAGAUUAGUUCUUGUGCUGACUGAUGCAGGAUUCACAAAGACCGCUUCGGCUGUCUUUGUAAACUCGAUCUCAAAUCAAGUAAGACUACCCGCUGAACUUAAGCAUAUCAAUAGCGGAGGA
rnacentral:misc_RNA from 1 species